CAGACGACGCUGGCGGCGUGCCUAAUACAUGCAAGUCGAGCGGACCGGAUUGGGGCUUGCCUUGAUCGGUCGAGCGGCGGACGGGUGAGUAACACGUCGGGCAACCUAGCCCGCAAGACCGGGAUAACUCCGGGAAACCGGAGCUAAUACCGGAUAACACCGAAGACCGCAUGGUCUUCGGUUGAAAGGCGGCCUUUGGGCUGUCACUUGCGGAUGGGCCCGCGGCGCAUUAGCUAGUUGGUGAGGUAACGGCUCACCAAGGCGACGAUGCGUAGCCGGCCUGAGAGGGUGACCGGCCACACUGGGACUGAGACACGGCCCAGACUCCUACGGGAGGCAGCAGUAGGGAAUCUUCCGCAAUGGGCGAAAGCCUGACGGGGCGACGCCGCGUGAGCGAAGAAGGCCUUCGGGUCGUAAAGCUCUGUUGUGAGGGACGAAGGAGCGCCGUUCGAAGAGGGCGGCGCGGUGACGGUACCUCACGAGAAAGCCCCGGCUAACUACGUG
rnacentral:rRNA from 1 species